CCUUCGGGAGGCAGCAGUGAGGCAUAUUGGUCAAUGGCCGGAAGGCUGAACCAGCCAUGCCGCGUGAAGGUCAGUGCCCUCUGGGUUGUAACCUUCUUUUAUAACGGAAUAAACCGCGGCACGUGUGCCUUUUUGCAUGUCCUUUAUGAUUAAGGAUCGGCUAACUCCGUGCCCGCAGCCGCGGUAAUACGGAGGAUCCGAGCGUUAUCCGGAUUUAGUGGGUUUAAAGGGAGCGUAGAUGGGUUGUUAAGUUAGUUGUGAAAGUUUGCGGCUCAACCGUAAAAUUGCAAUUGAUACUGGCAGUCGUGAGUACAGUUGAGGUAGGCGGAAUUCGUGGUGUAGCGGUGAAAUGCUUAGAUAUCACGAAGAACCCCGAUUGCGAAGGCAGCUUACUAAACUGUGACUGACAUUGAUGCUCGAAAGUGUGGGUAUCAAACAGGAUUAGAUACCCCUGUAGUC
rnacentral:rRNA from 1 species